rfam:Dengue virus 4 isolate P75-514, complete genome
AGUUGUUAGUCUGUGUGGACCGACAAGGACAGUUCCGAAUCGGAAGCUUGCUUAACACAGUUCUAACAG